GGGUUGUGAGGUUAAGCGACUAAGCGUACACGGUGGAUGCCCUGGCAGUCAGAGGCGAUGAAGGACGUGCUAAUCUGCGAUAAGCGUCGGUAAGGUGAUAUGAACCGUUAUAACCGGCGAUUUCCGAAUGGGGAAACCCAGUGUGUUUCGACACACUAUCAUUAACUGAAUCCAUAGGUUAAUGAGGCGAACCGGGGGAACUGAAACAUCUAAGUACCCCGAGGAAAAGAAAUCAACCGAGAUUCCCCCAGUAGCGGCGAGCGAACGGGGAGCAGCCCAGAGCCUGAAUCAGUAUGUGUGUUAGUGGAAGCGUCUGGAAAGGCGCGCGAUACAGGGUGACAGCCCCGUACACAAAAAUGCACAUAUUGUGAGCUCGAUGAGUAGGGCGGGACACGUGGUAUCCUGUCUGAAUAUGGGGGGACCAUCCUCCAAGGCUAAAUACUCCUGACUGACCGAUAGUGAACCAGUACCGUGAGGGAAAGGCGAAAAGAAC
rnacentral:rRNA from 1 species